rnacentral:ncRNA from 1 species
ACACGAUAAUACUAAACCUCCUGUGAGGGAGGGGCGGAAAGCCUACAGGGUCUCAAGGAGACAGCCGGGUUGCCGAA